AGGUUGUGGCUCAGUGGUAGAGCACUUGCCUAGUGUGUGUGAGGCACUGGGUUCGAUUCUUAGCACCUA
rnacentral:tRNA from 1 species